rnacentral:rRNA from 1 species
UACGAGGGGGGCGAGCGUUGUUCGGAAUUAUUGGGCGUAAAGGGCGCGUAGGCGGUCGGAUAAGUCUUGUGUGAAAUCUUCGGGCUCAACUCGAAGUCUGCACAGGAAACUAUCUGGCUUGAGUGUGGGAGAGGUGAGUGGAAUUCCUGGUGUAGCGGUGAAAUGCGUAGAUAUCAGGAGGAACACCUGUGGCGAAAAGCGGCUCACUGGACCACAACUGACGCUGAGGCGCGAAAGCUAGGGGAGCAAACAGG